UGCUCCUUGCCGGGGUGGGGGUCGUUACCGAGUGGGAACUUCUGCAAAUCCUGACUUUUGUCACUUCGCGCCCCGCACAAGAUGUCCUGCCGGCGGUGCGAUUGGUCCCGUUGCUUCGAGGGGAAACUGAGGCCACUUAGUCCGGGCACUUACCCGCAGCUAGUUAAGGACUAGGCUCUGAUGGAGACGCUUGUUACGACCUCAAUGGCCUGUAGAAUCUGGGAGGCCGCCUCCGACCUAAGCCCAAAAAGCACAUGAUCGGGCUCACAGGGGGCGGCCAGAGGUGAAAACAGCCAACGCUUUACAACGACGCUGUGCGGGGCACUUCGUGUGUGUCAUCCCGUCUCAUCCUCGGGUGAUAGGAACUGUUCAUUCGGGAAAAUUGCAAACAACUAAAUACCCCUCACCAGGAGCUGGCCCAUUAUAGCAACUCUGAGACCUCUCUACCGCAGGCUCUUAAAAUGGGGUUUCUGCUCACAGGUCACCUGGCCAGGGAUGCCCUCCCUGACCACCCUGAAUGCAACAGCAACACCGACCCUGCCUGUGCAGUGGACACUAUACUGCUCUUACCCUUCCUGGUUAUUUGUUACUGCUCACCUGGUUACUGCUUACCACAUUUGGUUAUUUGGUAUCCCUUCCCAUGAGGGGAGGGAUUUUGUUUUGUUCACUGCGACAUCCCCAGAAGCUACAACAGUACCUGGCAUAAGUUUUCAUCCCAACAGAAUUUUUCUGAGGAACUUGAUAUACAAAUUCUAUAAUUUAUAUUGGAAGAAUGAAGAUACAAGAAUAGUUUUUCUUUCUGCACAAAAAGGAUAAAGAAGGAGCACUCACCAGAUACCAAGGCGUGCUACAAAGCCAUGCUUAACAGUGGAUGUAACUGCUUCUUUGCUGUGGCAGAUUGUAUUUUCUGAAGGCCCCAACAGUCUCUCCUGUCCCUCCUCCUCUUCUGAAACCUUGAUACUUCCCUAUGAAGAGGUAGGGUCUAAUACUUCCCUCCUUCAACCUGAAGCCCCGCCUUGGGCUUGUGACUUGCUUGUAACCAGUCAAAUACAGUGGAAGAGUUACUACGUGACUUCCAGGGCUAGGUCAGAAAAGGAUGCAGCCUCAGGGUUCAACACACACUUGGGCCUGGAGCCACCAUGCAAGAAGGCUGCCAUGCUGCGAGGGAGCAAAGGCACGUGGAGGGACAUACACAGGGGCUGUGGCUGGCAGUCCUGGCCUUUGAGUCAUCCUUGUUUAAGUGCCAGGCACACACGUUAACUACCUUUAGGUAAUUCCAUACCUCAGGUGUCAUGUCACCCCAAGCCCUUGAGCCUUCCCAUCUGAAGCCCCAGGCUGUAUGGAGAAGAAACAAGAUGUUCCUGCCACGCUCUUUCUGAACUGCUGACAUACAGAAUCUGUGACCAUAAUAAAAUGGUUGUUUUGUGCCAUU
rnacentral:lncRNA from 1 species